GGUUAAUUAAAAUCCUUAAUCCCAGCAAUCUUGUUUGGUUGACCGUUUUCACUAACAUGGUUCUGAGAUUGACGAGUAGAUUUACAAAUUCUCGUGAUUUGCGUCUAUGUCACUACUACAUAAUAGAUCAUUACUAACGGGCGUAAAAUGACAUCAGUAGCGGGCAGGUCACCCGUUACUGAUGGGGCGCCUCAUCAGUAGCGGCCACACCACACACCCGACACUGAUGGGGAUUAGGAAAUAAAAAAAAUCACAAAAAAAAAUCGCCGGCUUAUCAAAGCUCCGCUGCCGCGGCUCCGGACCCCACGUGCGACGCUGCUCCUCCAGGUGCCGGCAGUCCACCAAACGGAAUUUCUAGGAAUAAAUGCCUUAAUUAAUCAGGAUUUGUAAGGUUAGUCGAAAUCCAAGGAUUAAGAGGUUAGGACUCAAUUCAAACUUUGCCUAAAACAUCAGGGUUAGAAAUCCCGACCGUGUUCAUCAUUUUCCUAACGUGCCAAACAGCUUUAAGGUCAUAAUUGACCGAGAUUAACAAGUUCAGGGUCCCGAUUUGAGGGAUUAAGAAGUUAGGAUUCAUCGAUUCAUCUCGGACGCUCUCUACAAGUAGAGAGUUGAAAACGGACUUUUUUCUUUGUAUACCUGCCACACGUAAGUCCAAGCCGCCAAGGGACGAGCCGAAGAUGGUGCCCCGGAUACGGUGCAUGCAUGCACCGUAUGCCUCAUCAGCCGCGGCAGAAGCUAAAACCUAAAAAAAUGUGCUAGCCUUCUAUCUCUGCGCCUGCGCUUCCCAAGGGACAUGCAACUAACAGGGCCUGCUCGUCCCAAGGUGACCAAGGCAGUAUUAUGCAAUCUGUAAGUUGUGCUCGAUCGAUGUAGCAGCCCAAUGAGUAACUGCUUUCCUAUAUAUGUGACUAGCUAGGAUGAUGCAUGUGUGACUGGCUAUGGACCAGUCGAUGUUUUAGCAGAUGUGUCGUGGCCAUGUGG
rnacentral:lncRNA from 1 species